GACAAGAGAAAGUCUAUACCUGCUCAAGGAAAAGAUCUGAUCUGAAUACUGAAAUACUAUCGAUACAUGUAGAGAUAUAGGUCUCCUGUUUAUAGUUGAUAUUUUCUACAUUGAAGAUGAAACAGCUGCCAAUUCAAAAUUGCAGCCCUCCAGCAAAGCCCCCCGGCAUUAUAAAAACACCUUACACUCCUGGGACUCUCCAGCAGUCAGCAUUGGCAUUCACCUUUCUUCUUGCAUUUUAUUAUAAACGUUUUUGACCAGGAUUUAUAAUAUGGAAGCAAGAAUUCACCUGUUCCCUGUCGCCAAACAUCACACUGAUUGAGAAGACUGAGGAAAAUCAGAGCUGAAACUUGGUCUCUGAAGAAUGAUUUUCCUGGAAAGGAUCCAAACCCAUCAUCUCUACCAGCCAUGUGGUAUAGAGAGAGUCUGUUCCAGAUUCCCUUGUCGCCAUGUCUUCCACUCGCUCCUGUCAAGCCUUCCUGCACUGGAAAAGUCCACUAUCACAGCACAUCAUAAUGUGGAAUCCACUUGUGCAAUGCUUUAUCCUGAUUUUGUAGAUUAUGUCGAUGUCAGUAUCCUGUAUUCUUCCCUUCCUAAUAAAGGAGUAAAUGUUUUAUGUUUUAAGUCAUUAGGUUUUUUUGCAUAUCCUAGGAGAAAAACCAAAUGAUGUAUGGUGAGGAAAAAUAUUGACUGUUAUCUGAAUAGCUACUAUACUGUUUCCUUCAGAUAAAAUACAUUCUAGGUCAGGCUUCCAGCCGCAGAUUGAAAAAUUCCCCCAAAGAUUAAUAAGGAUUUAGCUGUCCAGAACUGCAGUGUGGUGUAUACCUGUUUGUCACGGGUGUUUGUUUCAGUUUAUACCCCAUUGGGCUGCAGGUUUCUAUCACUGUCCAUGGCACUACUUUUCUCGAUUUCACUUGUUCUCACUGAUAAAGGACUCUGGUUACAAAAAGGAGUGCUCCUAAUUGAUUGGCUAAGGAAAGGUGUUAGAGGCCCCGAUAAGUUAGGGUGUUUCUUGAUGUUUUACUGUACCUCCUGGGUGUUAUAGGAUCUCUCUCUCUAUUUUUUAAUUCCUUAGAGUCAACUCACAGAGCAAAUUAAAAAAUAAUUAAUUGAUUUUGUUCUUAUUAAUAGGAAAGCCACAAUUUGGGUAACACUAUGUGCUUUUCUUUUUUUUUUUUAAUUUUUAUUUAUUUAUGAUAGUCACACAGAGAGAGAGAGAGAGAGGCAGAGACACAGGCAGAGGGAGAAGCAGGCUCCAUGCACCGGGAGCCUGACGUGGGAUUCGAUCCCGAGUCUCCAGGAUCGCACCCUGGGCCAAAGGCAGGUGCCAAACCGCUGCGCCACCCAGGGAUCCCCACUAUGUGCUUUUCAAAGAGUUUUUGUGCCUAUUCUAUUUCAUAUUUUCAUAAACAUAGAUGCCAUUGUCACUAUUUGGCAGGGAAAUAAACAGCCAAAGAGGUUAAGUGGUUUAUCUACG
rnacentral:lncRNA from 12 species